rnacentral:rRNA from 1 species
GACAGAGGGUGCAAACGUUGCUCGGAAUCACUGGGCGUAAAGGGCGCGUAGGCGGGAAUGUAAGUCGGGCGUGAAAUCCCUAGGCUCAACCUAGGAACUGCACUCGAAACUGCGUUUCUUGAGUAUCGGAGAGGAAAGCGGAAUUCCUGGUGUAGAGGUGAAAUUCGUAGAUAUCAGGAGGAACACCAGUGGCGAAGGCGACUUUCUGGACGGUAACUGACGCUGAG